CGCCUUCUUUUAUAUGUGGUUUGCCCUUAACCACACCCAUUUUGUUGUGUUGCCUAGCAAUGCUAGGACUGCAGUAGUCAUGUGAUAGGAGAAGGAAAAUUUAAAAAGUGUCAGGAAACACAACAAAAUUAGAAAAAAAAUCAUUGCUUUGACAGUUGUGUUUAUUAGCCAAGAUUGCAUGACCACAUAAACUCUAAAAUCCUAAAGAAAAUUUUCAUCUACUGAAGUCAGCAAUUUAGUUAAACUUGAUGUCAGACGCACACACUCAGACAUAACAGAGAGAAGGUGUUACUGUUUUAGAAUAUUUUAUUUUAAAACAUAAGAUUUCAAUGUCGGGGCAUGUACCACCAUGACGUUUGGCAGGGGCAGCUUUUGUCCCACAGGAAAGUGCCCCAUGCAUGACCUCACACACAGUGAGGCCUUUCAUUUAUUGCUGGUGCUAAAACACCAUGCAGGUAUGAAAAUGAAACAGUAACAGGGCCAGUCACAACUGCCAGCUAAUGUAAGAACCUGAUUCACUAACUAGAAAGGUACAGCAGGGAAAAUGAAAUUGUGUAACCCUCAUAGCUGAUUAAAUUAGUUCAUAUCAAAAGAGUGUUUAUAGGAGGCUAAUCUGUUUUGGUUGUAAUCCUGUAUGCUUCCCUCCUACUUAUUUCAGCACAAUUUGCAGCCCAGUGUGGAGGCUUCAAACAAAAUGAUGAAAAGAUCUUUUUUUUUAAUGCUGUCUUAUUUGCUACAUUAAAGUCAGUAAUAUAACAAAAAAAAGUGAAAAAGGGAAUAUUUCUAUACAAACCAACUAGGUGGUCCUAAGUGACAUAUGGAACAGUAAAAUCAAAUCAAAAGACCGUUGAGGGGAAAGUGAACCAGAA